UAAACUUAGAAUUCUGAAAAAAGUAUUGCGAGAUGUAAACUUAGUAUUCUGUAAAAAAAAAAAAUACUGUGAGAUGUAAACUUAGUAUUCUGUGAAAACAGUUAGUAUUGCGAGAUGUAAACUUAGUAUUCUGUAAAAAAAAAAAAAAAAAAAAAAAAGUACUGUGAGAUGUAAACUUAGUAUUCUGUGAAAACAUUAUUGCAAGAAAAAAGUACUGCGAGAUGUAAACUUAGUAUUCUGUGAAAAAAGUUAGUAUUGCAAGAAAAAAGUACUGCGAGAUGUAAACUUAGAAUUCUGAAAAAAGUAUUGCGAGAUGUAAACUUAGUAUUCUGUGAAAAAAGUUAGUAUUGCAAGAUGUAAACUUAGAAUUCUGAAAAAAAAAAUAUUGCGAGACGUAAACUUAGUAUUCUGUAAAAAAAAAAAAAAAAAAAAAAGUACUGUGAGAUGUAAACUUAGAAUUCUGAAAAAAGUAUUGCGAGAUGUAAACUUAGUAUUCUGUAAAAAAAAAAAAAAAAAUACUGUGAGAUGUAAACUUAGAAUCCUGAAAAAAGUAUUGCGAAAUGUAAACUUAGAAUUCUGUAAAAAAAAAAAAAAAAAAAAAAAAAAAAAGUACUGCGAGAUGUAAACUUAGUAUUCUGUAAAAAAAAAAAAAAAAAGUAUUGUGAGGUGUAAACGGAGUUCUGCGAAAAAAGUCAGUUUUGCAAGAUGUAAACUUUUGAGAAAAAAGUCACAAUUGCGAGAUGUAAAUUUAAAGUUCUGAGAAAAAAGUCAAUAUUGCGAGAUGUAAUCUUAGUAUUCUGUAAAAAAGUUAGUAUUGUGAGAUGUAAAUUAAGAAUUCUGAGGAAAAAAGCCAGUAUUAUAAGAUGUAAACUUAGAAUUCUGAAAAAAAGUAUUUCGAGAUGUAAACUUAGUGUUCUGUUAAAAAAAAAAAGUUUGUAUUGUGAGAUGUAAACUUGGACUUCUGAGAAAAAAGUCAGUAUUGCAAGAUGUAAACUUAGAAUUCUGAAAAAAGUAUUGCAAGAUGCAAGCUUAGUACUUAGUACAAAAAAAAAGUAUUGUGAGAUGUAAACUUAAAGAAAAAAGUCAGUAUUGCAAGGUGUAAACUUAGAAAUCUGAGAAAAAUGUCAGGAUUGUGAGAUGUCAAUUUAAAAUUGCACAGUGUAAUCUUGCAAUUAUGAUAUCUAAUUUGCAAACUUGUAAUUGUGGGUAAAAAAGUUGCAGUUACUUUUUAUGUUUUUAUUCUGUGGCACAAACAAGCU